CCGUCAUUGAAAAUAAGAAUUUGUUCUUAACUGACUUGCCUAGUUAAAGGUCAAAUAAAAAAAAUGGCUGCUGGGUAAUUUGAUAUGUGUCAAUCUGUUCCUUCUAAUUGAGGGAAUGCUGCACAGCUUCAAUGAGUUGCAAACCAAAUGGAUAGGUUAAUUUUAUUAACAAAUAUCUACAAACGAGGAAUGGUCACAUGCAAACAAGCAUACAUACAAACAAAUCAUAUUCAUUAAUACGACAAGUUUUAAUUGCCUUUUUGUGUUUCAUUUUAGAUAAAGUAGUGCCAUAUUGUUUUAAAUUCAUUUAUAAAGUGAAAAAGUUAGGUUUUGAAUUAGACCAUUUGCAUUUGUGAAUAGGAAAUUUACUUAGUAUUAGCAGUUGAAUUAAAUAUACUACAUUUUUAUCUGUCAGAAUUUAAAUAAAUCAUUUCAAAACCAUCAAAUAGUACAGUGUGCCCUAUUUUUUUGUAACAAAAUUCUGUAUGUCAAUCCCAAAAAUUCUACUAUAAAUACAGGCAAAAAACAAAUGCAAAAUGGUCUCCUUCUCCAUUCCACAGAAAUCCCGUUUAUAGUCAAUAUUCAGCUUGAAUCUUUCCAAAACAUGUUUCACAGGAUAAAUUCUAUGUAACAUUUUAAAUUAAAUUUCCUUUACCCUGUUACUGAUAUAAUAUUUGUUAGCAAUUUUCCAUGCUUUCCCCCAUUGUAUAUCACCAUAGAUAUUUUACCAAAAUAUAAUCUUGCUGAGGGAAUUGUAGUAUCACAAACAAUAUUCCUAAUCUGUUUAUUACUACAUUUAUCUUCGAUGUUAAUAUUGCCAAUGAAUAUAUUUUCAUGUAAGUCUGUUACUUACAUCAACCACAGAGGAAUUUAAAAGAUACAACCCCCCCCCCCCCGUAAUUGCAUCAAAAACAAUUGCAUAUUCUUUCGGGGUUAUUGGAAUUUUAAACUUAUCAAGAAAUUCCCCAUAUGACAGUAGAUAUCCAUCCUCAUUCAGUAAGUAACUGACCAACCAAAAAUAAUUGUAUUCUCAAACCAAUUACAAAAAAAAGAGAAUUAUUUUUUAAAUACUUUAUAUGGAACAAACAAAAAAAACUAUCUGUGAGGGGGAAAUUGUUUUUACGCCAACAUCCAAGCUAAAAUUGCCUGCUUAUGGAAUUUGGCAAACUUUACUGGGAUUUUAUCAACAUCAAAAUUACAUCAAAGCAAAAAUUCUAAACCAACAACAGAGUCAAAUAAAUACUUAGGGAAGACAUUCCAAAUACAGUUCUGGUUCUUAACAUACUUUAAAAAAUAAAUUAGAUUCUAAAGUAUUAUUUAGGAUAUUUAAAUCUAAAACCUCAAGACCUCCUUGUUCUUGGGUAUUGGUGAGAAUAUAUUUUCAUAGAUAGUGAGGCUUGUUCCUCCAAAUAAAAUGAUAAAGAAUCGUAUCGAAGUCCUUUACAAUUUUAGGGGAUAAUUCAAGUGAUAACGAGACAUAAACUGAUCUGGAUAACCCUUCAGCUUUGGACAAUAAAACCUGAUCGUAUAACAUAUCUCUCAGCAACCAGAGGUUCAAUUUCUUCUUUGUUUUCUCAAUAAUGGGGUUGUAGUUUAAUUCCCUCCUUUGUUUUUCAUCCUUGCAUAUAACAAUUCCAAGAUAAGUAUCCUUAACUUUAAUUGGGAUACCAUAUACUUCCUGUAAAACACAAUCCUUGAGUGGAAAUAAGAAUGACUUGAUAUUAAUUUUCAACCCCAAACUAAGAAAAAGUCUUCAAUACAGGAAACUGCUUUAGAAACCUCAUUCCGGUCUCUUACAAAUAUGGUGGUAUCAUCAGCUAGUUGACAUAGUGUAAAUUCAUUGCCAAGUGCUGAAACACCUUGAAAAUUCCCUUUCUUGAUAUGAAGAGCCAUAAUUUGAGUAACCAAUAAAAAUGGACCAAUUGGGCAGCCCUGCCUAAUGCCACGGCCAAUAUCAAAUCUUUGGGAUGUCCUGUGAGCUAAUUUUACAGAGCUAGUACAACCACUAUAUAAAGUUUGGACUGCUUUAAAAAAAAAAAAAGAGUCACCAAACCCCCCAAAAACGUAUUGCUUUGAACAUAAACUCAAGUUCUACAGUGUCAAAAGCGUUGUAAAAAUCAAGAAACAUAAGAACACUAUCAACAAGGAUGAGGUCAUUAUAGUCAAUCAUAUCUAAGAUCAACCUGAUAUUAUUACUUAUGUGUCGACCAUGCAUAAAACCAGAUUGUUCUUCAUCAAUUAUAUGAUGCAAGCCUUGUUUCAACCUCUUAGCAAUACAGGGGCAAAUCAUUAUUAAACAGGCUAAUGGGUCUCCAGUUGUCUAUAUAGAGUAUCCUCACGGUUUGGGAAUCAAAGUAAUUACACCUUGCCUUAAGGAAGCUGGUAACUCCCCUUUUUCUAUUGGUUCUUGGAACAUAGCAAGAAUGAAAGGAAUCAAUUGAUCAUUAAAUGAUUUAUAAAACUCGCUUAUUAAACCAUCAUUUCCAGGGGACCUAUUGUCCUUAAGGCUUUUAAUACAGUCGUUUAUUUCAAUUUCAGUUAACUCAUCACAAAAAUCCCUGAAAAUAUGAUCUAUCUACCUUAGCAAUGUUUGCUACGUUGUCUAAAAAAAAUGAUCCAUAAUUGGAAGUUGUCUGGGCUGAUGUAUACAUAUUCUGAUAAAACUGGGCAACAUGCUGAGAGAUGGAUUUUGGAUUUUCAUUGGAAAUAUUAUUAAUCAUUAAUUUACAUAUGGAAGUCUUUUCGCCUGCCCUUUUUUUCUAAAUUAAAUAAAUAUUUUUCUCUCCCUCUUCCAUCUUCCUCUUGAUCUUACAAACGCUCCCCGGGCCUUUUCCUCGUAGAUACAGUCUAACUGCUUUUGCAAUGAUGAUAGCUCCAGUAAUUCCUGAUUAGUUAGUUCAGUUUUUUUUAGUACAAUCCAUUAUUCCCUUUGUCAUUUUCUUUCUCUCUCUUGGCACGAGCAAUUUCUUUCCCCAUUGAAAUAGCCAAAAGCCUUAUAUCAAAUUUCAUUAGCUCCCAAAUGUAUUCACGACACAGGCACAAUUCCAGUGUUUAGCAAUAAUUCCUGCUAUUUCCUUCUUAAAUACUUAAUUCUCGAGUAAAGUCUUGUUCAUUUUCCAGUAACCAUUAAUAAUAAAAAAAUUGUAGACAAACCAUGCGUAUUUAUCUUUAUUGAGAUCCCUUUGUGGUCUGUUAAAAUUGAUGGUUCUAUAGAGACUGUAUCAACCUUGUCAGCCAUAUCUUCAGUUAUCAGCCAGAAAUAAAUACGGGAUUGUAUAGAUAAAUCUUUGGUACUCCGUGUAAACAUAAUGUUAUCUGGGUUCUUAUGUCUCCAAAUAUAUACAACACCUAACCGUAGACAUAUAUUCCUUAUAUCACAAACAGAAUUGCUAUCUUUAGGAGGCCAUCUAUCUCGAUUAUCAUGUAAUACUGUAUUAAUCUUCACCCCAUAUUAUUUUGGCCAAUGGAAAUUUAGACAUAAUUUCACUUAUUUUACUCUCAAUGUCUCUAAAUAAAAUUGUUACUUGACUUUUUUUAUUGGAAGCAUAAGUAUUUACAACAAUGAAUUGAAUGUGGGUUGACAAUAGUAUAACCCCUGUAUUACCUGCUUCAUGACUCAAUAUAUGACCCUUACAGUUGCCUUUUAAAGUAGCGACCCCUGCUGACCGAUUAGUACCAAAUAUCAUUCCGGCAUCGACACUUCCAAAACGCAGUAUCUGUGGACAGACAUGAUUCAAACUGUUUUAGAAACUUCAGUGUUUUCUAUCCAAAUCUACUAAUAAUAUGCAUAUCUUAUAUUCUUGGCAUGAGUAGCAGGAAGUUGAAAUUGGGCAUGCUAUUUAUCCAAAAGUGAAAAUGCUGCCCCCUAUCCCAAAGAGGUUUUAAGGAUCAGACCCUUUUUUUUAAUUUUGCCAAAAAUUACUUAACUGAAUCUAACUGUCUACCUCAGGACCUGAAGCAAGGAUAUGCAUAUUCUUGAUACCAUUUGAAAGGAAACUCUGAUGUUGAAGUUUUUGGAAAUGUGAGUAGAAUGUAGUAGAAUAUAACACAUUAGAUCUGGUAAAAUAUAAUACAAAGAAAAAAACGAAACACACAAUGUGUAUAUUUAGAGUUUAAGUCAGACACCAUUUUAGUCAGGACAAUCUCCUCUUUGUAAUAAAGUAUGUCUGGGCAGCGAGCUCGGUGGUCGUUGAUCACUAGACCAGAAAGAGUCCCAAGUUUUCAUUUUUUCCCUACUUCCUCAUUACGCAGACAAGCUCAGUUGAUACCAUCAAGGUGUGGUUUGUUUACUUUCUACACAUGUAAUUUUUUUCAGUUUCAUCCUAAGAACAGAUUGUAGUGGUAAAAUAGAAAGGGAUUUAAAAAAUUCUGCCAUUUAGGGGAAAUGGAAUUCUAAGCAACACUUCAGUCAGAGGCUCUGCGACAGUUUGUUUCAAUUCAAUUUCUAUGGCCUCGCGCUAGUGUUCCAAGCUCAGCCAACGUUCUUUGGCCAUUUUUCAAGCCUUUGGUGAGUUUUGACUCGUUCUAUUGUCCAGCCUAGUUCUGGUGUUGUAAUGUUACUUCGUUGUAGAGAAUGUUCUCAGGAACACAACACUUCAUUUCGUGAGGGUAGGACUUUGCUUAGAUCUUAUUUUCAAGUUAUCGGAAAAGGUCAAAAAGGUCGCAGACAGAUCAAUGUUAAUCACGAGUCAAUAAUGGCAUCAAAUCACCUGUCUGGUUUCUUAAAUUAAACGCGUUUUGACCAAGGCAAAGAGUUGCUACUUUGAAGCAUCUCAAAUAUAAAAUAUAUUUUAAGUUUUGUUACUAAAUGAUUGCAUACGUGUUAUUUCAUAGUUUUGAUGUCCAAACUUUUCACUUGUACAGUAUAUAUCUAGCUAUGGCUCUACAAAAAAAAUCCCGGUCUACAAGCAGCCUAUCACUGACGAAUUGGGGUCAGCCCUACUUCAAAGGCCUGACCUGAAGGUAACAGAUUACAACCUGCUCCGACGUCACAACUGCGAUGGUUAGGAAACCCCACUGUGCCAUUCCACCCAGCCCUGUGGCCACCUGAUUGAGCUUGGUGUGUGUUUGCCUUCCCCUCAAAGACGAUGUACUGCCUUCAGUGGUUGCUCCCGGUUCUCCUCAUCCCGAAACCUCUGAACCCGGCUUUAUGGUUCAACCACUCAAUGUUCAUGGGCUUCUACCUGCUCAGCUUCCUGCUGGAGAGGAAGCCAUGUACCAUUUGUGCCUUAGUGUUCCUGGCAGCUCUGUUUUUCAUCUGCUACAGCUGCUGGGGGAACUGUUUUCUGUACCACUGCCAUGACUCCGCACUACCAGAUUGUGCACACGACCCCAGCAUUGUGGGCACCUAAGAGGAUUCCCCCUGACGUGAUGCGCAGAUGGAUCCUGGACAAUAUGUAUCUAGGCUGUGAAUAAAAUCUCCCACCUGACACUGUCCAUGUGGAGAAACAUAGACUUCAUCCUGAUUCUCAUCCCCUCUGCCCUUAGUGUGCACUUGUUCACGUCUCUUAAUGGAUUUAAAAGGAAUUGACUGGUGUAUGAAAUAUGGUUACUCCCCCAUGCAUACACCAGUCCAAUGCUUUUAAAUGUGUGGGCAUGUGUACGCUUCCCAGAGAAUAGCCUACCCUACCCUCCUCACUACUGCCCUCCACCCCUGCCUUUUCCCCCUGUUUUUUUUGUGAAUGUCGCCUACCCUGGCCUCAUUGGAUCUAAACGUUUGCAUGGGUUGCCUUUUUUAGAGUUUUCAAAAGUCGUGUUAAUACAUAUGUUUUAAUUACAGAAAUCUGAAAGUUUCCAAAGGGUAGAAAUCAAAUGUGUUGUUGGUGUGAAAAUGCUGACUAUCAGUAUAAGUUACAGUAGCAGGAAGGUGAACAUGAAAAUCCUGCUUCCCUGUUGAGCUUUGGAUGUCAAGAGGAGGCGAGUGAUGUGAAUCUGUUAUCUAGAGUGCCUUCAGAAAAUAUUCAUACCGCUUCACUUACUCCACAUUUUGUUGUAUUACAGCCUCAAUUCAAAAUGGAUAAAAUAAAUAAAACCUCACCCAUCUAUAAACAAUACCCCAUAAUGACUAAGUUAGAACAUGUUUUUAGAAAUUUUAGCUAAUUAAAUACAGAAAUAUCUCAUUUACGUAAGUAUUCACAGCCCUGAGUCAAUACUUUGUAGAAGUGCGGUUGGCAGCAAUUACAGCUGUGUCAGUCUCUAAGAUCUUUCCACACCUGGAUUGUGCAAUAUUUGCCCAUAAUUAUUUUCAAAAUUCUUCAAGCGCUUUCAAGUUAGUAGUUGAUCAUUGCUAGACAACCAUUUCCAGGUCUCGCCAUAGAUUUUCAAGUAGAUUCAAGUCCGAACUGUAACUCUUCCACUCUGAAACAUUCACUGUCUUCUUGGUAGGCUAUUCCAGUGUAGAUUUGGCCUUGUGUUUUAGGUUAUUGUCCUGCUGAAAGGUGAAUUAAUCUCCCAGUGUCUGGUGGAAAGCAGACACAUUAAUUUUUUUAUCGGGAAAAACUCCCCACAGUCCUUAACGAUUACAAGCAUACCCAUAACAUGACCACUAUGCUUGAAAAUAUAGAGAAUGUUACUCAUUAAUGUGUUGUAUUGGAUUUGCCCCAAACGUUACACUUUGUAUUCAGGACAAACAGUUAAUAGCUUUUCCCACAUUUUUUGCAGGCAAACUUUUAGUGCCUUGUUGCAAACAUGACAGAUGUUUUGGAAUAUUUGUAUUCUGUACAGGCUUCCUUCCUUCAAUUAGGUUAGUAUUGUGGAGUAAAUACAAUUUUCUUCUAUCACAGCCAUUAAACUCUUAACUCUUCAAGUCAAUGGCUCAUGGAGACAUACCUGAGCGGUUUCCUUCCUCUCCGUCAACCUGACUUAGGAAGGCUGCCCGUAUCUCUGUAGUGAUUGGGCGUAUUGAUACACCAUUCGACGUGUAAUUAAUAACGUCGCCAUGCUGAAAGGGAUCUACCAAUAGGUGCCCUUUGCGAGGCAUCGGAAAACCUCCCUGGUCUUUGUGGUUGAUUUAUGUUUUGAAUGACCAUACGCAUACAGAAUGAUCUGUAUGUGUGGGGUACAGAGAUGAGGUAGUCAUUAAAAUAUCAUGUUAAACAAUAUUAUUGCAUACAGUCCAUGCAGCGUAUAUGACUUGUUAAGCACAUUUUUACUAUUGUGUGUAGGCCAGUGACACACUUAAAAAAUAAAAAAUAUGUAUUUUUUAAAAUUUGUGCUGUAACAACAAAAUGUGUAAAAUGUCAAGGGGUAUGAAUACUUUCUGAAGGUGCUGUAUGUCACUUCUGCAGAGUUCAAAUGCUACUACUGCUUUUCAUUUAAUAAAGUUCACCCUCUGAAGGUGUUAUCACACUUGA